rnacentral:piRNA from 1 species
UAGUAGAUUCGGUGGAUUUAGUAGA